rnacentral:snoRNA from 1 species
GCUCUGUGAUGGAGCCCAUGCGUGUCAUCUGAGCCUCUGGCUUCCCUGCCAGUGCAGCCCUGGCAGUGUCCUACUUCCCAGGGCUGUUGUCUGCCUGGCGGGAAGGUCCUGGGCAAAGGAUCAGUCUUUGUACUCUGAGAGCAGACUA